rnacentral:rRNA from 1 species
AGUUCGAAUUGAAGGCUGAAAUUCGCCUUCAUGAAGUCGGAAUUGCUAGUAAUGGCAGGUCAGCAUACUGCCGUGAAUACGUUCCCGGGCCUUGUACACACCGCCCGUCACACCAUGAGAGUUGGAGAUACCCGAAGCCUGUGAGCUAACUUUUAGAGGCAGCGGUCGAAGGUAGAAUCAAUGAUUGGGGUGAAGUCGUAACAAGGUAUC